UAGGUAACCUACCUCUAAGUUUGGGAUAACCUGUCGAAAGAUGAGCUAAUACUGAAUGAGACCACAGUUUCCUCGGAAGCAGGGGUCAAAGGUAGCCUCUAUUUAUAAGCUAUCGCUUAGAGAUGGGCCUGCGUACCAUUAGCUAGUUGGUGAGGUAACGGCUCACCAAGGCAAAGAUGGUUAGCUGGUCUGAGAGGAUGAUCAGCCACACUGGAA
rnacentral:rRNA from 1 species